CCCUGAUCCUCUAGGGUCCUAACCCCCUCCCCCGCUCGGCUGACCCCGCAGCCCUCCCUUACCUGUGCCGGGAGGGCGGAAGCGCCCCCCCCCCGGGGCAGGCUGGGAGAUGUAGUUCCUGACCCUCCUGGGAGCGGAAGUGACGUUCGGAGGGGGGGACAGAGGACGAGAGGGGCUGCGAGGGCGCGCGGGGCGCUGCGGCUCUGCCUGGCUCGUGCGGGGCCGUUGGAGCCUCUCCUGGGGCCGCAGGAGCGUUUUGUGUCUCCCGGCUCUGGGCAUGCGCAGAUCGGGGGGGGGGUGGGAGAGAGUCGGGCAUGCGCAGAGGCAGAGCUCGCCCGCGGCUGCGCACCCGAGGCUGCGGGGCCGGGCUGCGCCGAAGGGUCUGUGCGGGGGAGACCUUCAUUCCCCCCCCCGUGCCCGGCCCGGGCCCCGCUCCCGCCGGAGCCGCCCUGGGGCCGCCCCGGGCCCUGCCCGCCCCGUUGCGGCGCUGCAGCCUCCAGGAGGGGAGAGAGGCUACAUUGUGGGUCCGGGCAAACCUCUGAGGCAAACCCUAACCGCCUGGAAGCGCAGGACCCUCCGAGGCAAAGCCGGUGCUCUGCCACAACGGGCACAGUGAAAGAAAAUGAGAUUGUUUUCUACAGCAGCAUGGCUCAAGGGCAUUGGCCAGUCUGGACUAUAUUGUCUUCUUUGCUUCUCUGUCCUAAUCUAAGGACUUUCCAAUGCUGUGUUUCGGUUGACUAAUAAACCCUGGUAUGUUUUAAA